CUUGACCGGAAUUGAACCUGGGACCCCUCAGUCCGCAGGCUGACGCUCUAUCCACUGAGCCAAACCGGCUAGGGCUAUAUAACAGAUUUUAGACAGGCUCAGGACUCGCAACCUCUGUGAGGUGGAGAAAUUCUCUGAGACGCUGAGGGAAGCAGACUCCUCUCACAGACGCGCCCUUACGUGCACCGAAGUCGUGCACGCCAUGUAGGGCUUCACCAGUUGCCUGAGACUCCAAGUUCCGUGGCUCUUUGUCUGCAGGGGCGGAGGAGGGAGGAUAUCCUAGAGGUAUCUGACUUCUUGAAAGACUAUUACCACAUUAUAAUUACUUUCCCCCUCAAAAGCUAAUUAAAGCGCCCACAAAGCAUUGAAAUUUACUGAGUUGGGCCGAGCCACAAUGCAUAGAAGAAUCUGUUGCCAGAAGCGCAUGAAUGCCAGGUGAAGAUUAGACAAACCUUAUAAGAAAGAUAAAAGGCAUAGUUUUCACUUUGAACCUGAAAAAUAUCCAUCCUGCACACAGAAGCAAGUGGCCAAAGCUAAAUGUAACAAAAACAAGAGACAGGGGUCAGAACUAGAGUCAGAGGCAGCUGGAGCUGAGGGUGCAGGAGGGGGUUAGAAAGUGUGUAAUGCAUUUACCCUGUGGCAUUUUUGUCCAUUUAUUCCAUAAUUCUGUCAUAUUUUCUUAUUCUAAACCUAAAUGCCGUCUUUAUCAUCAUUUGACAGGGAAAGGCCGUGCACAGUACCCAUGCCAGAGGCCACGGACCCGGUGUGACUGCAGGGGAGGCAGAGGGCCUGCGCUUCACUUAGGAGAACUGGCAAGCAGCCCUGCAAAGACCCACUUCUUCAGCCUUUUGUAUACAACUGCCCGAGAGAAGGAGGACUUUGAAAUGCAUUUAUUGAAAACUCCGCGCACAGUCCAACACUCCACGGUCUGGUGGUUCCUGUCAUGACUUCUUUGGAAAUGAACCCAGAAACGGAAGCACAGAUGGAUGACGUCGCUGCCCAAGGUGCUCCGUGAAGGAGAGAAGGAGCCAGGAUUUGUGGCUCUGCUCUCAACUGCUCAGGUCAGACAGAGGAAGGACUUGUGUGGAUGGUGAUGGUGUGGAAUGCAGUCAUCAGGCCCAGGGAACAGGUAAGUGAAGAGUCAAGACGUAAGUAGCGUGAGAACAGUAAGAGAGAGGCCAUUGGCAGAUUGAGGGGAGGGGACAAGACAGGGCCCAGUUCAGGAGACAUACAGCCUCGAACCAGAGGGAGACAAAACCCAGCUAGAAAACCUAAACAAUCUGCUAUCUACUGGCCAAAUAGCACCAUAUACUCAGGCCAUUGCUGAGCCCCCACGUGGUUAACGGCAGCUGCAUGUGUGGAUUUGAGGGGCUGGGGGGUUAGUGAAAAGGCUGGCCAGGGCUGGCCCUCAUCUUCCCGUUAGUAGUUCUGUGUUCAGAGAAAGCCCAUGCCGGGUUAGGGCAGUUUCUUUAGGGGACCGUGCUAAGCUGUAUGUUGGGAGUAGCGACCUGUAAUCCAGGGGGUGGAUUAUCCUAUAGGGCAGCGGGCUGGGACAGUCAGGAGCAAAUCCCUAAGAGCACUGAGCUGAAUCUUAAAGGAGAAAAGGGGAAUGUCUGUGCCACUAGAACAGGAUGAGUGCUGGAAACUUGGUUGGCUGAGCACAGCCUUGGUCCUUCCUCGUGAACUCCAUCUACUUAUUCCUGCAGAUGGCAACUAAUGAUCACAGAGCACCAGCUGAUCAAAACCUUGGUGGAUUGAUGGUCAAGUGCAGCAGGCCCUUGAUUAACAUUGUUCCA